UACGGGGGGGGUAAGCGUUGUUCGGAAUUACUGGGCGUAAAGGGCUCGUAGGCGGCCAACUAAGUCAGACGUGAAAUCCCUCAGCUUAACUGGGGAACUGCGUCUGAUACUGGAUGGCUUGGAUUUGGGAGAGGGAUGCGGAAUUCCAGGUGUAGCGGUGAAAUGCGUAGAUAUCUGGAGGAACACCGGUGGCGAAGGCGGCAUCCUGGACCAACACUGACGCUGAGUGAGCGAAAGCCAGGGGAGCAAACGGG
rnacentral:rRNA from 1 species